AUUGAACGCUGGUGGCAGGCUUAACACAUGCAAGUCGAGCGGAGAUGAGGUGCUUGCACCUUAUCUUAGCGGCGGACGGGUGAGUAAUGCUUAGGAAUCUGCCUAUUAGUGGGGGACAACAUUCCGAAAGGAAUGCUAAUACCGCAUACGUCCUACGGGAGAAAGCAGGGGAUCUUCGGACCUUGCGCUAAUAGAUGGGCCUAAGUCGGAUUAGCUAGUUGGUGGGGUAAAGGCCUACCAAGGCGACGAUCUGUAGCGGGUCUGAGAGGAUGAUCCGCCACACUGGGACUGAGACACGGCCCAGACUCCUACGGGAGGCAGCAGUGGGGAAUAUUGGACAAUGGGGGGAACCCUGAUCCAGCCAUGCCGCGUGUGUGAAGAAGGCCUUAUGGUUGUAAAGCACUUUAAGCGAGGAGGAGGCUACUGAGACUAAUACUCUUGGAUAGUGGACGUUACUCGCAGAAUAAGCACCGGCUAACUCUGUGCCAGCAGCCGCAGUAAUAC
rnacentral:rRNA from 1 species